rnacentral:rRNA from 1 species
UGGGGGAUAUUGGUCAAUGGGGGAAACCCUGAACCAGCAAUGCCGCGUGAGGGAAGAAGGUCUUCGGAUUGUAAACCUAAGUAGUCAGGGACGAAAGAAAUGACGGUACCUGAAGAGUAAGCUCCGGCUAACUACGUGCCAGCAGCCGCGGUAAUACGUAGGGAGCGAGCAUUGUCCGGAUUUACUGGGUGUAAAGGGUGCGUAGGCGGGAUGGCAAGUCAGAUGUGAAAUACCGGGGCUUAACUCCGGGGCUGCAUUUGAAACUGUCGUUCUUGAGUGAAGUAGAGGCAGGCGGAAUUCCUAGUGUAGCGGUGAAAUGCGUAGAUAUUAGGAGGAACACCAGUGGCGAAGGCGGCCUGCUGGGCUUUAACUGACGCUGAGGCACGAAAGCAUGGGGAGCAAACA